rnacentral:tRNA from 1 species
GUCCAGGAGCGGGAAUCGAACCCACAACCUUCUGCUUACCGGGUAGGUGCCAUGUCAACUAGGCUAUCCUGGA